AUGAGCUACACAUGUGGCUGUAACACCUGAGGGCCUCUGGUUGGUCGGUGAAUAGCCUGACUUGUAAAAAGUGGUGUGUAGCAGACAGCAGCACAUAGUGCCAGUUUUGCCAGGAUACACAAGCAAGCAAGUGGUCACUUAAGCUUGUGUUGUGUGUAGCAGGUGUAGUUUGCUAGCAACUAGGCUAGCUUUAGACAUUGCCAACACAUUAGUGGCUAUGGCUUUUGGGUUUGGCCUUAGAAAUCAAACGAACACGUCUUUUAGAUUUUCUUAACACUUUCCUGAAGGAGAUAUUCAUAUGGAGUGUCACAAUAGUUGUUGAUCUCUCCUUCACUGGGAAGGAACCUCGCUUUGAGGCUGUUGAGAGGUCCUGCACAGCUUCACCCUGCUCGGCCAUCGCUACCUGAAACAGAACUAGGCCAACAUGUGAUGUGAAGGAUUAAAGUAUUUAAGGACUCCUACCUAAUCUGUAUUCCAUUAGUAUUGCACCUUCAAUCUAAUAAAUAGUAUAACAUUUAAGUUAUUAAGUUACUGGUUUGCUAUUUCAGCUCUAUACCUGUACUCUCCAAGAACAGGUUUGGAGUCAUUUUUGAGCUGCAUUACUCGUGUGAUAUUUCUCUACCAGCUGGGACAGGCAACCCGGUUGUACCCAAUCACUAAGCAGUAUGCAUCAAAGUGUGGCAACAGUGUCCUCCCUCUAUCGGGCCAUAUGGAGUUCCAGGCCUCUUACUUCAGCUGCCACACUGGCAAGAAAGUGCAUAUAAAACAGUUUUUGACUUUUAUUGUACAAACUAGGUGUGGUGUGUCGUUUUCUACUUAGGUCCUUCAGAAUGACUAAGUGUUCACUUUCAACUUCAACCUGAUUGAGAUACAUGGAGGAAAGGAGGUCACCUAUUCUUUGUACAAGACCUGUUCUCCCUCUCUCCCCUGGUCUCCCAGAGAGGUCACCUGUGAUUUCAACUACGUGGAAGCUUGGUUAAAUCUUAAAUUGUUUUUACUUAAGAGUAGUUUCAGAUGUUGACUAAAUAUGAUUUCUGUCUAGGUGUCUGUGAGGAGGGAAGUCUCACUAAGGGACAAAGCGAGAUGACGAAGGCUGUCAAGCCUACAAAGGAUCAUAUGACAGUGGCUACAUGAUGUGGGAGACUCCUGAGGUUCUGUACCUGGAUCUUAACAGCACACAACUCAACACUAGUUUCAACGGUGAACUUGUGGUGCACCCUGAUGCAGAGGGCACAACUCUACAGUCCAGAUCGCCAUUCCCUAUAAUGCUGAAGCCGGAUACACGAAGGUCGGAAGAUGCAAACCUAAAAGAUUUAAUGCACAUUGGGAUUGGUUGCCCAAAUUAAAGUAACUGAUGCAUUUAUCGUCCACAAAUGAAACUCCCUAGUUCUCCAGUAUACCCAGAUUAUUUUGGUCACUAUAAAAUAAUGUAAACAUGCAAUAGUAAAAACAUUAACCUAGCAGCAUCUGAAUUAUUGACAUGUUUACCUGCAAGUAUUCCUUCACAAACUGCAUGUCUUGUUUCAGAGCUUUGACUAUCCAUCUCUGAGUUUUGUUUUUCAUCUCUACUUGGAACAAAGCCUGGUGGAUGAGGAUUGUGUAGUAACCAGGCUCUGAUUUCACAGGACUUUGGCCACCCACCUGCUGCCAUGCCAUGUUUUGGUUUUAAGAAUAAUUUUUUUUUUUUCUGCAUUUUAGGCCUUUUAUUUCCACAGGACAGAUGAAAGGGGAAUGACGGCAAAGGGCCGCAGGUCAGAGUCGAACCCACGGCCGCUGCGUCGAGGAGUAAACCUCUAUAUACGUGCGCCUGCUCCACCAACCGAGCCAACCGGGCCACAAACCAAACCGUUGUUGAUGAACAUAUGCUCACGGUCUACCUUGGAGAUGUCCCUGAAGAUGUUGAGUUGGCAAGUAUUUACAGUGCCACUUAAAAAUGCAAGCAGCCGCUACAUCACAAAAGUUGUUCAUCCCAACCACACUCAUGGCUACACUCUGUGCCUUUUGAUGACCCUGUUAUGCACCAGGUAAGUCUUUUUUUGGCUGACUGAUUCUUGCAACUGUCGCCUGAGCUCAGUCUUAAUCCAUUUUUCUCCUAAUUCUCUAAAGAUGCAGUUCUUCAGUAUAGGCUGGACAUUAACUACACCCUGACAGUUUUGCCUGAAAACGAGCCUUAUUACCACCUGGUGUCUAUUGUGGCAUUGUUUACAGAUGUCUG